rnacentral:rRNA from 1 species
UACGGGGGGGGGCAAGCGUUGUUCGGAAUUACUGGGCGUAAAGGCGCGUAGGCGGCCUGUUAAGUCGAACGUGAAAUCCCCGGGCUCAACCCGGGAACUGCGUCCGAUACUGGCAGGCUUGAAUCCGGGAGAGGGAUGCGGAAUUCCAGGUGUAGCGGUGAAAUGCGUAGAUAUCUGGAGGAACACCGGUGGCGAAGGCGGCAUCCUGGACCGGCAUUGACGCUGAGGCGCGAAAGCCAGGGGAGCAAG